AUUCAGUUGGGCACUCUAGCGAGACUGCCGGUAAUAAACCGGAGGAAGGUGGGGAUGACGUCAAAUCAUCAUGCCCCUUAUGACCUGGGCUACACACGUGCUACAAUGGUUGGUACAACGAGUUGCGAGUCGGUGACGGCGAGCUAAUCUCUUAAAGCCAAUCUCAGUUCGGAUUGUAGGCUGCAACUCGCCUACAUGAAGUCGGAAUCGCUAGUAAUCGCGGAUCAGCACGCCGCGGUGAAUACGUUCCCGGGCCUU
rnacentral:rRNA from 1 species